AGUUUGAUCAUGGCUCAGAUUGAACGCUGGCGGCAUGCCUUACACAUGCAAGUCGAACGGCAGCACGGGAGCUUGCUCCUGGUGGCGAGUGGCGAACGGGUGAGUAAUACAUCGGAACGUACCCUGAAGUGGGGAAUAACUCGGCGAAAGUCGGGCUAAUACCGCAUGUGAUCCUUCGGGAUUAAAGCCUUCGGGCGCUAAAGGAGGGGCCUGCGUCUGAUUAGCUUGUUGGUAAGGUAAUGGCUUACCAAGGCGAUGAUCAGUAGCUGGUUCGAGAGGAUGAUCAGCCACACUGGAACUGAGAUACGGUCCAGACUCCUACGGGAGGCAGCAGUAAGGAAUCUUCCGCAAUGGACGAAAGUCUGACGGAGCAACGCCGCGUGCAGGAUGAAGGCUUUCGGGUCGUAAACUGCUUUUGUAUGGGAAGAUUAUGACGGUACCAUACGAAUAAGGACCGGCUAACUACGUG
rnacentral:rRNA from 1 species